AAUGUCUCAAAGGGCUGAUGAAUCUGUCCUUUGGAUUUUGGGUCUUGCUGUGAAGGGUUUCUCAGCUUACCUUGAAACUAUUAGCAAGCUUUAUUUUGGUCAUCUCUAUCUAAAUGAGGCGUUCUAAUUUAUCCAAAAGAGCCUUAUUGUUGACAACUUGCUUCUAAUUAUCCCAUUAAAGGGAUUAUACUGGCUCUCAAUAAUGAGUUCCAAGCCUA
rnacentral:misc_RNA from 1 species